AGCCGCGGUAACACGGAAGCCCCGAGCGUUGUUCGGAUUCAUUGGGCGUAAAGGGUGCGUAGGCGGCGCGGAAAGUCCGGCGUGAAAGGCAGGGGCUCAACCUCUGGACUGCGUUGGAUACUUCCGUGCUUGAGGACUGGAGGGGAGACUGGAAUUCACGGUGUAGCAGUGAAAUGCGUAGAUAUCGUGAGGAAGACCGGUGGCGAAGGCGAGUCUCUGGACAGAUCCUGACGCUGAGGCACGAAGGCUGGGGGAGCGAACAGGAUUAGAUACCCUGGUAGUCCCAGCAGUAAACGAUGUGAGCUUGAUGUGGGGGGAUUCGACCCCUUCCGUGUCGAAGCUAACGCGAUAAGCUCACCGCCUGAGGAGUACGGCCGCAAGGCUAAAACUCAAAGAAAUUGACGGGGACCCGCACAAGCGGUGGAGUAUGUGGCUUAAUUCGAUGCAACGCGAAGAACCUUACCUGGCCUUGACAUGCAUUGUGUCGUCGGUGAAAGCCGGCUAGUCCUGGAAACAGGACGCUUUGCACAGGUGCUGCAUGGCUGUCGUCAGCUCGUGUCGUGAGAUGUUGGGUUAAGUCCCGCAACGAGCGCAACCCUUGUGGUCAGUUACUAACCGGCUUAGCCGGAGGACUCUGGCCAGACUGCCCUGUCAAACGGGGAGGAAGGUGGGGACGACGUCAAGUCAGUAUGGCCCUUAUGGCCAGGGCUGCACACGUACUACAAUGCCCGGUACAAUGUGAACCGAAACCGCGAGGUGGAGGAAAUCGCUCUUGAAAACCGGGCCCAGUUCGGAUUGGAGUCUGCAACUCGACUCCAUGAAGUCGGAAUCGCUAGUAAUGGCGUAUCAGCAACGACGCCGUGAAUACGUUCC
rnacentral:rRNA from 1 species